rnacentral:rRNA from 1 species
GUAGGGUAAUGGCCUACCAAGGCAACGAUGCAUAGCCGACCUGAGAGGGUGAUCGGCCACACUGGGACUGAGACACGGCCCAGACUCCUACGGGAGGCAGCAGUAGGGAAUCUUCCGCAAUGGACGACAGUCUGACGGAGCAACGCCGCGUGUAUGAAGAAGGUUUUCGGAUCGUAAAGUACUGUUGUUAGAGAAGAACAAGGAUAAGAGUAACUGCUUGUCCCUUGACGGUAU